CGGAGGAUCCGAGCGUUAUCCGGAUUUAUUGGGUUUAAAGGGUCCGUAGGCGGAUCCGUAAGUCAGUGGUGAAAUCUCACAGCUUAACUGUGAAACUGCCAUUGAUACUGCGGGUCUUGAGUAAGGUAGAAGUGGCUGGAAUAAGUAGUGUAGCGGUGAAAUGCAUAGAUAUUACUUAGAACACCAAUUGCGAAGGCAGGUCACUAUGUCUUAACUGACGCUGAUGGACGAAAGCGUGGGGAGCGAACAGGAUUAGAUACCCUGGUAGUCCACGCCGUAAACGAUGCUAACUCGUUUUUGGGCUUUCGGGUUCAGAGACUAAGCGAAAGUGAUAAGUUAGCCACCUGGGGAGUACGUUCGCAAGAAUG
rnacentral:rRNA from 1 species